rnacentral:rRNA from 1 species
GAUGAACGCUGGCGGCGUGCCUAAUACAUGCAAGUCGAGCGAACGGACGAGAAGCUUGCUUCUCUGAUGUUAGCGGCGGACGGGUGAGUAACACGUGGAUAACCUACCUCUAAGUCUGGGAUAACUUCGGGAAACCGGAGCUAAUACCGGAUAAUAUUUUGAACCGCAUGGUUCAAAAGUGAAAGACGGUCUUGCUGUCACUUAUAGCUGGUUCCGGGCUGCAUUAGCUAGUUGGUAAGGUAACGGCUUACCAAGGUAACGAUGCAGAGCCGACCUGAGAGAGGGAUCGGCCAAACUGAAACUGGAACACGGUCCAGACUCCAACGGGAGGCAGCAGUAGGGAAUCUUCCGCAAUGGGGGAAAGCCUGACGAGGCAACGCCGGGUGAGUGAUGAGGGUCUUCGGAUGGUAAAACUCUGUUAUGGGGGAAGAACAUAUGUGUAAGUAACGGUGCACAUCUGGACGGUACCUAAGCAGAAGGCCACGGCUAACUACGU